rnacentral:rRNA from 1 species
UACGUAGGGGGCGAGCGUUGUCCGGAAUUAUUGGGCGUAAAGCGCGCGCAGGCGGUUUUUUAAGUUCGUGGUGAAAGACCGGGGCUCAACCCCCGGAGCGUCCGCGAAGACUGGAAGACUGGAGUGUCGGAGAGGAGUGCGGAAUCCUGGUGGUAGCGGUGGAAUGCGUAGAGAUCAGGUGGAACACCGAUGGCGAAGGCAGCACUCUGGCCGAAUGACUG